AAGCCUCUGUCAGUAGAGCUUCAGGCAGAGACCUGCUGCAGCAGCCUUUGGCUGUGUGUAGGGCCUUAACCAUAGCCGGGUAGGUUUGUGCUUUGUUCACCUCCAAGUUGCUGCCGCACCAUCAUUAUCACUGUGUAGAUCGCAGGCAGUGUCUGGCCGCUCAUGCGACACUAUGGAGAGUCCUCUUAAGCUGCGGGAUCAGGUGCCGCUGUUUCUGUUUGUAUGUUUUCAUCACUGAUCUGCCCAACCCGGUGACCCCUUGGUGCACCGUGGUCCAAGUACGGUGCCACGGCCGGCAUUUUGGGGAUCGUGUGUGCUCCAGAGUCAGGGACUGCUGUCUAUCCACGCAUUGGCGAGCGGCGUGACGGAGCUGAGUCGACGGAUUUCGGAGCGAGUUCCUCCUUCCGGCCUUCUAUCCCUCAAGCACAACCUGAGGCCAGUGUCCCACCACCUUGGACUGGAGUCGGUUACUGCCACUGGACGCAAGGGGCGUGGGCAUUGAGCCGGGUGCGCCACAACAGGGGGCGCACAGCUGGGUGCAGCUGACUUUGUGGGCUGGGCAUGAUCGCCCUUAUGGUUUGGGUAACUAUGUUUCGUGUCUUUUUAGAAUAGGAAUUUUAACACUUUCUAAUAAAGGUUGUCUAUUUCUUUAAAA